CACCUGCUGCAGAGGAUUACUCCAAGUUACCUGGCAGAGCGAGUGCACUCAAAUCACAGAAACUACUAUUAUUCAUCUAGAAAUACAAUAAGCCCCACUUCAGAGGCUCUGUCCUCCAAUAUUCACACAGGCAGGCUAGCACCCGGGGCCUCGGGGGUCUAGCCUCAAUCCCACUUUCAAGUCACAGACCUGGGCUGGAGGUCCCAGGAUUCUUCACCUGCCUAUACCGGCCAAUCCUGCCGCCUCCCUGUGGGACAGAACCACCGCUCAGGAGUCUGCAAGCCACGGCCACACUGCUUGCUGCACAUGGCAGGUCCAGGACUCAGAGCCGGGCUCCCAGCCGGGGCCCUUUCCUCUGUCCCCCAGUCCUGCUCCCGAAGCCUUUAAAACACAAGGCAGAAAAGCUCCUUGGGAAUGAAGGCUGACAGCUUGUCAGGACGCCUGGACACACCACACCAGCCGCAGAGAACACAGGCACAACUUGGCAGGAGCACCACGUCACUCUCUGAAGGGAGGAGAUGGGCCACACAUUAGACACAGGAGGCAGGAAAUAGAAACUGGCCUUGGCGAAGAAUGGAACCAAGGAGAAACCACUUAAAAGGAGAUUCCAACCGAAGAGACACAGGAAGAAGAACUGAGGGCAGAUGACCCACAGCCAUUCCUCUUCAAAAUGACCAGGCCAACAGAAGGGCAUUCCCGGCAGAUGUGCUGUAAUCAGUCCUGAGAAGCUAAUUCCACAUGGUACCUGGAUUCCAAAGGAAGAUGCCACCACCUUGGAGAGCCAAGACAACCAAAUGGCACCACCAGAUCACUGCUGUCUUUCAUUCCGUGAGCCCCUACUGUGCACCUACUA